rnacentral:rRNA from 1 species
GCAAGUCGAGCGCUUCCCUUCGGGGAGGAGCGGCGGACGGGUUAGUAACGCGUGGGAAUAUACCCAGAUCUAAGGAAUAGCCUCGGGAAACUGAGAGUAAUACCUUAUACGCCCUUCGGGGGAAAGAUUUAUCGGAUUUGGAUCGGCCCGCGUUAGAUUAGAUAGUUGGUGGGGUAAUGGCCUACCAAGUCUACGAUCUAUAGCUGGUCUGAGAGGAUGAUC